AUACGUAGGUGGCGAGCGUUGUCCGGAAUUAUUGGGCGUAAAGAGCAUGUAGGCGGCUUAAUAAGUCGAGCGUGAAAAUGCGGGGCUCAACCCCGUAUGGCGCUGGAAACUGUUAGGCUUGAGUGCAGGAGAGGAAAGGGGAAUUCCCAGUGUAGCGGUGAAAUGCGUAGAUAUUGGGAGGAACACCAGUGGCGAAGGCGCGUUUCUGGACUUUGGCUCACGCUGAGAUGCGUAAGCCAGGGUAGCGAACGGGAUUAGAUACCCCGGUAGUCCUGGCCGUAAACGAUGGGUACUAGGUGUAGGAGUUAUCGACCCCUUCUGUGCCGGAGUUAUCGCAAUAAGUACCCCGCCUGGGGAGUACGGCCGCAAGGUUGAAACUCAAAUGAAUUGACGGGG
rnacentral:rRNA from 1 species